rnacentral:rRNA from 1 species
AAACCAACAGGGAUUGCCUCAGUAACGGCGAGUGAAGCGGCAAAAGCUCAAAUUUGAAAUCUGAGGCUCUCCAGCCCCCGAGUUGUAAUUUGAAGAUGGUGUUCUGGUGCCGGCCCCCUGUCUACGUUCCUUGGAACAGGACAUCACAGAGGGUGAGAAUCCCGUCUGGCGGGGCGGCCUGGCUCCGUGUAGAGCGCCAUCGACGAGUCGAGUUGUUUGGGAAUGCAGCUCUAAGUGGGUGGUAAAUUCCAUCUAAAGCUAAAUAUUGGCGAGAGACCGAUAGCGAACAAGUACAGUGAUGGAAAGAUGAAAAGAACUUUGAAAAGAGAGUGAAAAAGUACGUGAAAUUGUUGAAAGGGAAGGGUAUUGGAUCAGACUUGGUGCUGUGCGAAUAGCGGCCCUUCUUGGGCUGCCCACUCGCACUCCACCGGGCCAGCAUCGGUUUGGGCGGCAAGACAAUGGCGGGGGAACGUGGCACUGCUCUCGGGCAGUGUGUUUAUAGCCCCCGCUGAUGUUGCCUGCCUAGACCGAGGACUGCGGCUUCUGCCUAGGAUGCUGGCGUAAUGAUCCAACACCGC